ensembl:lncRNA
AAUAGCUGUGUUUUCUUUGCCUACAGUAGCUCGCCGGCGUCGGCUGCGGCUUGGCGGACGCGCCCCUGCGAGCUCAAAGAUGAAGCAGUGGCAUCACUUACUUCAGCAGAUGAAUUAUGACGCAAACCGAUGCGAGCCUUGGUUGGGAUGUCAUGAAUCCGCUUUUCGAGGACGCCGUCGCAGCUCCGCUCCCAUGCAGCUCUGCCUGGCUCACCUGGUGAGCUCAUUGAGUGCACCUGUCAGCCCCACCCGCCUCAUCAGCUCCAUCACUGUGCUGCUCCCCUCAGCGGCGGUUGACAGCUUGUGGUCUUUCCUCUCCGGCCUGGACUGUGUCCCACGUGUUGCUGCUUCCACCUGCUGGGUUACUGGUGCAUCACAACAUGAAAUAAAAAGCAAAUAGCUGAAGAGAACCACCAUUGUGCUUGUAGUCAGAGCACUUUUAUUUUUAUUUUUUAAUGUUAAAUAACUUCCUCGUAAUUGUCUAAUAACUAAUGAAUUUGAGAAAUACAUCAUAGAGCAUACAUUGGGUAUUUUUAUCUGAGAAGUAUCAUAAGACAAAUGUACAAAUUACUAUAUUAUUACUCUGAUAGAGCGUGCUGUACUUUGCAUUUUCAUAUUAUCAUCCCUAUAGGAAUAUAAAUAAUGGGACUUGAUUAAAGGUUGAGUGUAAAACAAAGACUCAUAUGGCACUUUUACAUGUGCAUUAAAGAGGAAUGGUUGAUGUAUGAUUGCCCCAUCUGGUGGAGAACUCGGC